UGACUAUGUUGAGCAGUCUUUUUUUUUUUGUAGGUUGUAGCUGGUUUAAAACACUGCACUGCUUGGGAAGAAACAUCUGGCAGCUCCCAAAACUGCAGGCAGAUAUCUUUCUCAUCAACAUAUAUGCUGAUACACACAUAUUCUUAAAUAUAUGUGAAGGUUCACAUACACUAUAUAGGUGUACACAUACCAUUUGAAAAUGCAAAAAAGCCAUUUCUCAGUAGCAGGCUUAAGAGAAUCAGGCUAAAUGAAUUUUGUAGGUAAAUGACAAAUAUCUUCGACUCAAUUCCAAACAUAUCUUUUUAGUUUCGCAGUGCACUCUACACAGAUGUACUGUCACGUGAGAAAACAAAGUGUUCUCCUUGAAACUUGAACCAAAAUGGAUGAAUACCAUGACCUUUUCUUUCUCUUAACUGCAUUCAGUAAGUAAAUGCAUGCAUGUAGCGUAUGGGCUGUCACCACAAGGUGUGCCUUGUAAUUUGCAGAAUCUCCCAUCAAGCACUGUGCUCUCAAAACACCUCUGCAAGCAGCCAGUGCGCUACAAUGAUGUCAAAACUGAAGUUGCAUCCAUCAUGUCAUUUAACAUCUCCAUGAAGAGCUUUAGCUGUAAACCCUGUCAAAUAUAACAAAUUGUUCACGGUCUUCUAACACAUCCAUACCAUGAAUUAACCUGGAUGUCCCCAGAAUUAUUUACGACUGGCAGUCAAAAACGUAUUGUGAUGUAUAUUUAUUAUACUUUCUAUCAAAGUGGGCAUUAGGUACUCUGCUAGUGCAGGUACUAACUGAAGGAGUGCUUGGAAAUGCUGUAUAAGAACCCUUGAGGGUGGGUUCCAUUUGUUUUGGUAUUAAUUAAACUGAUGGUAUUACAUUGCAUAUUGUAUGGGUACUGUAAGUGUCAUGAUGUUAACACAUUGCAGAACCAGAAUGGUUACUGAACAGAAUGGGACCAGGAAGUGUUUUUUUAUUAUUUUCUUUAUGGAUACAGCCACUGCUAAUUCAGCCAUAAUUGUGUUGACCUUUAUCCUCCAAACUGUUCCUCACCACACCAUUGCACUAGUGGUUAUUUGAAUACUUGUAGUAGUAAAUAGAAGGUGGGUAAACACUGACCACCGGUGAAGAACACCAGGCAGUUCCCAACAUCAAUAGUAAUUUACUGCUGUACAUGACAUCUUUGCUGCAAGAUCUCUCACCUUGUCUCCCCUGAUGUAAACAGGCCUAAAGAUGUCAUUAACGCUGUCCUUGACACUUAUCAAGGAGUGUGUUACCAAAAUGCCUCUCCCCAUUAUAAGGAUACAAUUUAUCUUGAGAUCUUUUUCAUGUUACUUCCAUUUUUGUACACAUUUCCUAUUGACAUCAGUAAACUCAUGGUUUACUUGAAAUGUAUCUGCAUAUCAAGUUAGGAUUUGGCUCCCAAGUCUUCAAUGCAUCUCCCCAUCUCAGAACGAGCCCUAUUCCCUAUUCCCAUCUCAGAACGAGCCCUAUUCCCUAUUCCCAUCUCAGAACGAGCCCUAUUCCCUAUUCCCUAUUCCCAUCUCAGAACGAGCCCUAUUCCCUAUUCCCAUCUCAGAACGAGCCAUAUUCCCUAUUCCCAUCUCAGAACGAGCCCUAUUCCCUAUUCCCAUCUCAGAACGAGUCCUAUUCCCUAUUCCCUAUUCCCAUCUCAGAACGAGCCCUAUUCCCUAUUCCCAUCUCAGAAUGAGCCCUAUUCCCUAUUCCCUAUUCCCAUCUCAGAACGAGCCCUAUUCCCUAUCCCCUAUCCCCAUCUCAGAACAAGCCCUAUUCCCUAUUCCCUAUUCCCAUCUCAGAAAGAGCCCUAUUCCCUAUUCCCUAUUCCAAUCUCAGAACGAGCCCUAUUCCCUAUUCCCUAUUCCCAUCUCAGAACGAACCCUAUUCCCUAUUCCCUAUUCCCAUCUCAGAACGAGCCCUAUUUCCUAUUCCCAUCUCAGAACGUGCCCUAUUCCCUAUUCCCUAUUCCCAUCUCAGAACGUGCCCUAUUCCCUAUUCCCAUCUCAGAAUGAGCCCUAUUCCCUAUUCCCUAUUCCCAUCUCAGAACGAGCCCUAUUCCCUAUUCCCUAUUCCCAUCUCAGAACGAGCCCUAUUCCCUAUUCCCUAUUCCCUAUUCCCAUCUCAGAACGAGCCCUAUUCCCUAUUCCCUAUUCCCAUCUCAGAACGAGCCCUAUUCCCUAUUCCCUAUUCCCAUCUCAGAACGAGCCCUAUUCCCUAUUCCCUAUUCCCAUCUCAGAACGAGCCCUAUUCCCUAUUCCCAUCUCAGAAUGAACCCUAUUCCCUAUUCCCUAUUCCCAUCUCAGAACGAGCCCUAUCACUUCUAUUCAUUGCAUUACUUAUUUAGAUCACUCUCACCCUUAAUCCCACCCCUCAUAUGUUAACGGAGGUUGGUGAUGCUUCCUCCUUGAAAUUUAUCUUGCAUUCUUCACUUGGUUCUGUUUUGCCUAAUUUUUCUGCUUGCACACCUCUCUGCCUAUGUUACCUCACCCUCCAAGACCGGACAGUACUGCGUAUGUGUCAGCAUGAUGGUAAAAAGUCCUUCAAGCCUUUCAAAAAGGCUAAAGCACUGUUAGUGCGUUUCUUACACCUUUCCCAAUGCUUUUAAAUUGAGUGAAUGAUGGUAGCAGGAGGGGAAUGACGAUAUUGAGCGCCUCUUUCUCACACAAUAACUUUCAGCUGCAACUGUUUACAUGUUAAUGGGUAAAAAAAACAGUGGUUCAAAAACAAUGAAAAAAAAAACAGAGAAG
ensembl:lncRNA